rnacentral:rRNA from 1 species
CCUACGGGUGGCAGCAGUGAGGAAUAUUGGUCAAUGGACGCAAGUCUGAACCAGCCAUGCCGCGUGCAGGAUGACGGCUCUAUGAGUUGUAAACUGCUUUUGUACGAGGGUAAACCCCGAUUCGUGUACCGGGUUGAAAGUAUCGUACGAAUAAGGAUCGGCUCACUCCGUGCCAGCAGCCGCGGUAAUACGGGGGAUACGGGCGUUAUCCGGAGUUAUUGGGUGGAACGGGAGGGUAGGUGGGGAUGCAAGUUGGGUGUAAAAACUACCGGCUCAACUGGUCGUCGCACUCAAGACUGCAGCGCUUGAGUGAAGUAGAGGCAGGCGGAAUUCCUAGUGUAGCGGUGAAAUGCGUAGAGAUUAGGAGGAACACCAGUGGCGAAGGCGGCCUGCUGGGCUUUUACUGACGCUGAGGCUCGAAAGUGUGGGGAGCAAACAGGAGUAGAUACCCGAGUAGUC